rnacentral:rRNA from 1 species
AGCAGCCGCGGUAAUUCCAGCUCCAAUAGCGUAUAUUAAAGUUGUUGCAGUUAAAAAGCUCGUAGUUGAAUUUCGGGAUCAAUAUGCCGGUCAUGCCUUGGUAUGCACUGGUAUCUUUGAUUUCUCCCUUCUGACGAACUUUGAUGUCAUUAAUUUGGUGUCAUAGGGAAUCAGGACUGUUACUUUGAAAAAAUUAGAGUGUUUAAAGCAAGCUCACGCUUGAAUACAUUAGCAUGGAAUAAUGAAAUAGGACGUUUGAUUCUAUUUUGUUGGUUUCUAGGAUCGACGUAAUGAUUAAUAGGGAUAGUUGGGGGCAUUAGUAUUCAAUUGUCAGAGGUGAAAUUCUUGGAUUUAUUGAAGACUAGCUACUGCGAAAGCAUUUGCCAAGGAUGUUUUCAUUAAUCAAGAACGAAAGUUAGGGGAUCGAAGACGAUCAGAUACCGUCGUAGUCUUAACCAUAAAUUAUGCCGACUAGGGAUCGGAUGAUGUUAAUUUUUAAUGACUU